rnacentral:rRNA from 1 species
UAGCGUAGGGGGCAAGCGUUGUCCGGAUUUAUUGGGCGUAAAGAGCUCGUAGGCGGUUCCGUAAGUCGAGUGUGAAAAAUCUGGGCUCAACCCAGUGGAGCACUCGAUACUGCGGUGACUAGAGUACGGUAGAGGAGUGUGGAAUUCCUGGUGUAGCGGUGAAAUGCGCAGAUAUCAGGAGGAACACCGGUGGCGAAGGCGGGUCUCUGGGCAACAACUGACGCUGAGGAGCGAAAGCGUGGGGAGCGAACAGG